UACGGGGGGGCAAGCGUUGUUCGGAAUUACUGGGCGUAAAGGGCUCGUAGGCGGCCAACUAAGUCAGACGUGAAAUCCCCAGGCUCAACCUGGGAACUGCGUCUGAUACUGGAUGGCUUGAAUUCGGGAGAGGGAUGCAGAAUUCCAGGUGUAGCGGUGAAAUGCGUAGAUAUCUGGAGGAAUACCGGUGGCGAAGGCGGCAUCCUGGACCGACAUUGACGCUGAGGAGCGAAAGCGUGGGGAGCGAACAGG
rnacentral:rRNA from 1 species